AUAAUUUUUUUGUAAAAGCAGGGGCUCGGUUAUGUAAAGAACCAAAUGUUGUGGCAUGGGAAAGUGUAAAAAGAAUGUCAAUGAUGGAAAAUAAGAUUGAAGAUCUCAAAGGAACACCCAAAUGCCCUAACCUUCGAACCUUGUUUCUUAGCCAGAAUGAGUUGCAAGUGAUCAGCGAUGGUUUCUUCCAAUUUAUGCCUCGUCUGACUGUUUUGGAUUUGUCAAGAAAUCUUCGAUUACGAGCGCUACCUAAGGGAAUUUCACAAUUGGUUUGUCUAGAAUGUCUUGACCUAUCAUUUACUGGUAUAUCAGAGUUGCCAAUAGGGUUGAAAUUGUUGACAAAACUAAAAAUGUUGGACUUGAGUUACAUGCACAAUCUCAAAAAAAUCCCACAACAUUUGGUAUCUAGUUUUUCGCAGUUGCAAAUAUUUAGAAUGUGGUGGUCGGGAUGGGGAGGUUAUCCUAAUGAAGACAAUGUUUUGUACGGGAGUAAUGAAAAGCUUAUGGAGGAGUUGAACGGUUUGCAAUGUUUGAAUAUACUAACGAUACAUAAGAAAGCACGUUUCGUCUAGAAAUAUUCCUAAGCUUUAAUUUGUUUCGAUGUUAGACCCAAGUAUUAUAACUUUUGUGUUUUUAGAGAAUCGAAAACGUUUAAUGUUUUAUGCUUUGUGAUUUUGGGGUUUACCCAUUUAAGUGAGUACAAUGCUUGUAAUUAAAAUAAAUGAUUUAUGUAUAACCAUUAAUUUAAAAAAAAUAAUUGUGUAAUGAUGACAGUAUGCAUAGAUCAAUAUUUGAUUUUAAUUAUUAUUUUUUAAAAUUUGUUUUUAGUUUUAUACUUAAAUAACAAUUUGGUUGUAAAGCAUACUUGAGAUGCUUUUGUAUAUUGUAUAUAUAAAAUGUUAUAAUAUUUUUAUAUAGUUUUUUGAUAAAUUAUUAUAUAAAUAAUUAAAAUGUGUGAACACAUAAUUUUCCAAAUUAAAAUAAUAAAUAAAUAAUGGGAUGGUGGUAAGUAGGGUUAUACCCCAUUUAAUGAUAAUAUUUUUAAUGAAUAACAAUGAUAUGGAAUUUACUUUAGUUAUAUGGAAAAUCAAAAUUUAAAAGAAAAAUCUAUGUCAGUUUGUGGUUUGUGAUUUUAAUGUGGGUUCUUAAAUUGUAAAUUUUUUGUUUUAGGUGCCUAAAAUAAAAUUAUUUUGAUAGUUGGUGACUAUCUUUGUAUUUUACCCUAUAUUUUAAUAUUCUAUUAGGAGCAAAUAGUUAUUAAGAAUAUUUUUGUUCUUUUUUAAACUAGAAAGCCAGCAAUGAUCCAAUUUCAUGAAGAGAAAAGAUGAUAGCAGAGGAACCCAGACAAGUACCUAAGCGAGCGUAGAGCUGAACCAAAUAACCAAAAAUUUCCUCAUUUCCAUGCACAAGACUUGAUCGAUUCAAAUUCCAACUAUCUUUCACCAGAUUUCUGCAACUGCAUCUGCUCCAACUAAACAAACAGUCGAGACCAGUGCUAAUUUGAUGGAUCUAACCGGUAAGUCUUCGACCCACUACCUCUCUUCUUCUAACCGGUAAGCCUGAUCGGUUCUUCAUAGUUUUUGAAAUUCCAAUUAUCUUUCACCAGGAUCUUGCUACUGCAUCUGCUCCAACUAAACCAAACAGUCGAGACCGGUGCUAAUUUGGUGGAUCUAACCGGUAAGUCUACCUGUCUUCUUCGUAGCUUUGGCUAAAAAAGUUCGAUACUUUGAUUUCCUUCGACCUCAAUCUGUUUGAAACCCCAUCUUCUUUAACUUCAUUUUUCUUUGGCUUUUCCAAUUUACUUAACUUUAUUUUUAACACAAUUCACUUUGCAUCCGCAUCUCAUUUGUUUCCUUUGUUCCAGCUUUCAUUUACCAGAAUCAUGGGCAAUUGCUGCUCCGAACAAUGUGGUUUAGACAAUUUCCUUCUUCGUGGCUUGGAUUUCAUUGUUGGCCAUGCUAAUUAUGUCUGGAAGCUUAAACAAACUCUUCCAACUUUAUCUGCUGCUCUUGAAGAACUGAAGGCGCGAAGAGAUGACGUGAAACGGAGGGUUGAUAUUGCGGAGCGAAAACUAUUGAAGCCAUUGGAGGAAGUUCAGCUAUGGCUUUCAACAGCGGGACCUAUGAUAACGGAGGCAGAAAAGUUGAUUGAGGAUGGCCGUCAACAAAUGAAUAACUUGUGUCUCGGCGUCUGUGCUUCCAAGAGUUGCCAGUCUAGCUACAAGUAUGGCAAAAAAGUGAACAAAAUGCUUCAAGAAAUAAGUGAUCUUAAGAGGGAAGCAGCUUUUGAGAAAGUAGCAGAGGAUCCGCCCCCAGCUCCAGUGGUAGUAAGACCUGAAGAGCAGGCGGUUGCUCUAGAAUCCACAAUCCAAAAGGUAUGGAGUUGCAUUGUAGAAACAAAUGUGGGGAUCAUUGGUCUCUAUGGCUUGGGGGGCGUUGGCAAGACAACACUCUUGACCAAACUCAACAACAAGUUCAGCACCACACCAAAUGAUUUUGAAGUUGUUAUCUGGGCGGUGGUGUCUAAAGAUUACGAUGUUGGAAAGAUUCAAGAUAGGAUUGGUGAAAAUAUUGGUGUUCCACAAUCCUGGAAGAAUAAAAGUGUUGACCAGAAAGCCAUAGAUAUCUAUGGGGUCUUGAGUAACAAGAGAUUUGUUGUAUUAUUGGAUGAUUUAUGGAAGAAGGUGGAUUUGAACCUAGUUGGGAUACCAGAACCAAGCCAAACAAAGGGUUCCAAACUUAUUUUUACUACUUGAUCUUUGGACGUAUGUGGCUACAUGGAAGCUAAAACGAAAAUCAAAGUGGAUUGCAUGGAACCGGGGAAGGCUUGGGAAUUGUUCCAAGACAAGGUUGGAGAUGAAGCUCUCAACAGCCAUCCAGAUAUUCCAAACCUAGCUAAACAAGUAGCUGAAAGGUGCGGUGGGCUACCUCUUGCACUAAUUACAAUCGGCCGUGCCAUGGCUUGCAAGAAAACGCUUGGGGAAUGGAAUUAUGCAAUUGAGAUGUUGAAGCGAUGUGCAUCGCCACAAAUGGAAGAGGAGGUAUUUAAACUUUUAAAAUUCAGUUAUGAUAAUUUGCCUAAUGCCACAAUGAGAAGUUGUUUCCUAUAUUGUUGUCUGCAUCCUGAAGAUUAUUGUAUUCCCAAAAAGAGAUUAGUGGAAUAUUGGUUUUGUGAAGGGCUAUUGAUUGAAUUUGAUAGAAUUAGUGAAGCUCAAAUGCAAAGUGACCACAUUAUCAACUCUCUUCUGAAUGCUUGUUUAUUGGAAAAUAGUGGUGAAAUACAUGGAGAAGAAUGUGUAAAGAUGCAUGACGUAAUCCGUGACAUGGCUGUAUGGAUUACACGCAAUUCUGAAGCAACAGAAGCCGGGGCUCAGUUAUAUGAAGAACCAGAUGUUAAGGCAUGGGAAAGUGUAAAAAGAAUGUCAGUGAUGACAAAUAAGAUUGAAGUUCUCAAAGAAAUACCCAAAUGCCCUAACCUUCGAACCUUGUUUCUUAGCCAAAAUGAGUUGCAAGUGAUCAGCGAUGGUUUCUUCCAAUUUAUGCCUCAUCUGAUUGUUUUGGAUUUAUCAAGAAACCUUAGAUUACGAGUGCUGCCUGAGGGAAUUUCACUAUUGGUU
rnacentral:lncRNA from 1 species